UACGAAGGGGGCUAGCGUUGCUCGGAAUGACUGGGCGUAAAGGGCGCGUAGGCGGCCUGGCAAGUGGGAGGUGAAAUCCCUCGGCUUAACCGAGGAACUGCCUCCCAAACUGCUUGGCUUGAGACCAGGAGAGGUGAGUGGAAUUCCCAGUGUAGCGGUGAAAUGCGUAGAUAUUGGGAGGAACACCAGUGGCGAAGGCGGCUCACUGGACUGGUACUGACGCUGAGGCGCGAAAGCGUGGGGAGCAAACGGG
rnacentral:rRNA from 1 species